GGAUGAGGGCGAUCUGGCUGCAAUAUCUGUCACCCCAUCAGUCACCAAGGUUGGUUAGCUCAUCUGGCUGGUGUCCCCGUCCUCCCUCACCGCUCCACGUGCGUCCCUCCUGAAGCUGUGCACUUGGCUGAAGAGGACCACCACCUCCAAUAGAGGAGGAGCAGUCUUCGGUCCAGGGUAUAUGAGUAGCUGCACCCCCCUGCUAGAACCUCCAAACAAGCUCUCAAAUACACCUAUUUUUUGAAGUCCCUCAUCUUAUCACCCACUUCUUUUAUUUUAUUAAGUAUAUUAAACAUGCAAUAUCAUGUAUU
rnacentral:snRNA from 1 species